GACGAACGCUGGCGGCGUGCUUAACACAUGCAAGUCGAACGGAAAGGCCCUGCUUUUGUGGGGUGCUCGAGUGGCGAACGGGUGAGUAACACGUGAGUAACCUGCCCUUGACUUUGGGAUAACUUCAGGUAACUGGGGCUACUACCGGAUAGGAGCUCCUGCUGCAUGGUGGGGGUUGGAAAGUUUCGGCGGUUGGGGAUGGACUCGCGGCUUAUCAGCUUGUUGGUGGGGUAGUGGCUUACCCAGGCUUUGACGGGUAGCCGGCCUGAGAGGGUGACCGGGCACAUGGGGACUGCGAGACGGACCAGACUCCUACGGGAGGCAGCAGUGGGGAGUAUUGCACAAUGGGCGGAAGCCUGAUGCGGCAACGCCGCGGGCGGGAUGACGGCUUUCGGGUUGUAAACCGCUUUCGCCUGUGACGAAGCGUGAGUGACGGUAAUGAGUAAAGAAGCACCGGCUAACUACGUG
rnacentral:rRNA from 1 species